GUUGUAGAGUUCGCUGAAGGGGCCAAUGCCGUGGUGUUGUUUCCAAGUGUCUGAUUGCUUUUCGCACUGUAAAACAUAGAGAAUUCGAUACAAAAGAGGUGAGCUUGAUUCAUAUGGAUAUUCAAAAUUUUAAUCCUUUGUGAGAAGAAGAAGAAUAAGAAUGUUACCUUCCAGGGAACACGCAUGUUCCUCGACCUGCAGAGACAAUCAGAAGAACACAAAGUCCAUUUUCAGAUACAGAGGCAAUAGGUAUUCACAUUUGCAAAGAGGUGAACGGUAAUGUUGAGAGAUUCACAUACUUGGAUCAGUUGUAGUGACUGUAGCAACUCCCUUGAAAUCACAGCUUCCUGAAGCUUUCCCCAUCUUCUGGUAAUAAGCAUUAAACGCAUAAGUAGAAUGUGCAACCACAUCAUCGGGUUCAUAACAGGACUCUCCCUGCAUCAGUGCGGAGCAAUC
rnacentral:lncRNA from 1 species